rnacentral:tRNA from 1 species
GCGGGCAUAGUUUAGUGGUAAAACCAUAGCCUUCCAAGCUAUUGAUGCGAGUUCGAUUCUCGCUGCCCGCUUCA